rnacentral:rRNA from 1 species
CCUACGGGCGGCAGCAGUGGGGAAUAUUGGACAAUGGGCGAAAGCCUGAUCCAGCCAUGCCGCGUGUGUGAAGAAGGCCUUCGGGUUGUAAAGCACUUUCAGUGGGGAAGAAAGCCUUGGGGCUAAUACCCUCGAGGAAGGACAUCACCCACAGAAGAAGCACCGGCUAACUCCGUGCCAGCAGCCGCGGUAAUACGGAGGGUGCGAGCGUUAAUCGGAAUUACUGGGCGUAAAGCGCGCGUAGGCGGUCUGAUAAGCCGGUUGUGAAAGCCCCGGGCUCAACCUGGGAACGGCAUCCGGAACUGUCAGGCUAGAGUGCAGGAGAGGAAGGUAGAAUUCCCGGUGUAGCGGUGAAAUGCGUAGAGAUCGGGAGGAAUACCAGUGGCGAAGGCGGCCUUCUGGACUGACACUGACGCUGAGGUGCGAAAGCGUGGGUAGCAAACAGGAUUAGCUACCCUAGUAGUC